GGUUCUUGGCUUCAAGAUCA
rnacentral:snRNA from 1 species